AGCCGUCAGACAGCGUUACAGCACGCACGGAGAUGAGAAGGAUGAAUCCGUUCCACAAGCAAGAAAGCAUUCCAGGACGGAGUGUGUGUCUGGAAGCCCUGUCUGUCAGUAGACCUCACUUCCUCCACCACCUGCAUAUGAGUCAACACCACACAGGAAACCAGCCGGUCGCCCAGAGCUGAAUGGGUGUAUUCUAACGCAAGCUCGGCCUGCCACUUCAUCUUGGGACCCAGUUGAAGCAACUUUUCCUAACAAGCCCGGAGGUUCGACCGGAGGUACGGCCAUCCGUCGCAUGCUACGGCGAGUGGCAACCAAUGAUGUUCUAAAACUGUAUAUCCUGCGGGGCAGAAAGGGAAAGAAAGCCUUCCAGGACCUGACUAUCUGCAGGGUUA